UAAGUUUCUACAUAUAAGUGAAAUCAUGGAAUUUGUCUUUCUCUGUAAAAUGAGCUUAAUUUUUUAAUUUGGCAAAGUGUGUAUUUUGGAUACCCUUCCCCCAUAGAAAACCAAUUAUAGCUUUCCAACAAGUAGCCCCAAAGAAAGAUAAAAUAUAGUUCAUUUUAGGAGGAAAAUAAGCAGGGCUAGUAAAUUAUAUUUGUUAAAUUAUUUUAUUGACAGUAGAAUGCUACAGAAUGCCACCCUCAUCCUAAAACAUACACAAACAUUCAGAGACCGGAAGAGGAAAGCCAGCAGGUGAUAUGGUCAAGCAGCCCUCCCAAUGUUAACACUUAGUAGGCUCUUCUUAAAUAUUGAAAGAAUGACUGCUCAGAAUUCUUUUGCUUCAAUAAUAUCAAAUAUAUAUUAAGUGUAGAAAAACCUGUAGAGAAGAUUAAGAGAUGAGUAAAGGUGUUAAAUGAAGACUUUUUUUCUUGCAGAGCAACAGAGUAAAGAAAUUAGGGAAGAGAAUGCCAAGGAAAACUAUUGAAACUUCAGAGAGCUUAAGGAAGACCUAAGGUGCUAAAUAAGAGAACAAACAGUGUUUCAGAAAGGAUGUCUCUUCACAUGGGCACAUUGCCUGAAAAGAUGCAAAGUAUCAACAGGACAUUAUUCUAAAUGGAAUUUGAAAAAGAAGAAAUUACAUAGAUUAAAUUCCAAAUGGAGAUUCUGAAACCAGUGAUGUUGAAUAACUUUCCCCAAGGUCAUGCAGCUGGUUGUUCUCAUAGAUUUGUAUCCUUUUCCCCUUAGUUGAAAACCUGACUCACGUCCCUAAAUUUAGCAUCCACUUGGUAAAUUCUGAGCCAGACCGUUAUCACUGCUAUAUUUUCCCAGUAGGUGGAUGAGCUCUUUUUCCUGCGCUGACUGCCCCACUCCCAAACACAUCUGUAGUGGACACAAACACAGUAAUCAGCCCUCCUCCCCUCUGCAUAGCUCCGUACCCCAUUCCAGAGUACAUUUUAAAAGCUUGCCUUUAAAGAACCUCAUAUGUUUUUCAGUCAUUGGCAAGAACGAAUCUUGAAUAUUACAAAACCAAAAUAUGUUGAGUAAAUUAAGACCCAUCUUCUCUGACAACACUUGGUCUAGGCAAUGAUUGCAAAAGCUCUGUCUCCAUUUUGUAAGAUGCCUCCUCUCUGAGUACACUUGCAAACAACUUGAUUUAGGAGUGUACUUCUGAUAUUAAUUUGACGAUUGCUGCUCCUGCCAUGGAGAAUUAGAGGCCUUUGGUCUUUAGGGCUUUUCAUCAGAUUGCCGUGUUCAAGAGCACUGUGUUGGCCUGUGAGAAAUGUUUAUCAUGACGUGUUCUCUCUCGGGAUCACAGCUUUCAAUCUUCUAAAGUGCAUUAGUCUCAGCACUUUGAUUUUUACAAGUUUUGAAUUUCUUGUUAUUGCCUUUUAAAAAAAAUACCUUUGCUUUCCUACAUAGAAUUUCUUAGAGUAAACAAAGGUGAAAUGGCAGCAUUUUUCACAGGAGUGUGGAUUUUUCUGACUGUGUGUGUGUGUGUGUGUGUGUGAGAGAGAGAGAGAGAGAAAAAGAGAGAGAGAGAGAGAAA